AUGGAGGUCGAGAUCAAGCUCCGGCUCCCCGACGCGGCCGCACACCGGCGCCUCUCCUCCUUCCUCGCGCCCCGCCUGCUCCGCACCGACGCCCCCGCGUGGCCCCUCGCCGCCGCCACCGCCGCCCAGCGGGUCUGCCUCUACGGCACCGACGACCGCGACCCCUCCCGCGCCGUCCUCACGCUCAAGCGCCACCCGCGCAUCGACGCUGGCGUCAGCCGCGUUGAGGAGGUCGUGGAGCCCCUCGACCCCGCCCUUGUCCUCACCUGCGUCGACAACCCCGCCCGUCUCGGCGCGGUCGACUCCCCCAUUGUCCGGCUCGUCUCCGACGAGUACGGCCUCGGCAGGGACAAAUCGCCGUUCGUCUUCCUCGGCGACUUCCGGAACACCCGCGGUGUGUAUGAGCUCGAGGAGUGCGAGGGGCAGGGGCUCGUGCUAGAGCUCGACGAGACACACUUCGAUUUCGGCACAAACUACGAGAUGGAGUGCGAGACCGCGGAGCCCGACCAGGCCAAGGAGGUCCUGGAGCGGCUGCUCACCAUGGCUGGGGUGCCGUAUGAGUACUCCCGGAGCAAUAAGUUCGCGUGCUUCAUGGCCGGGAAGCUGCUUCCGUGA
rnacentral:rRNA from 1 species